AUUGAACGCUGGCGGCAUGCUUUACACAUGCAAGUCGAACGGUAACAGGCCUUCGGGUGCUGACGAGUGGCGAACGGGUGAGUAAUGCAUCGGAACGUGCCCAAUCGUGGGGGAUAACGUAGCGAAAGUUACGCUAAUACCGCAUAAGCCCUGAGGGGGAAAGCAGGGGAUCGCAAGACCUUGCGCGAAUGGAGCGGCCGAUGUCAGAUUAGCUAGUUGGUGGGGUAAAGGCCUACCAAGGCGACGAUCUGUAGCGGGUCUGAGAGGAUGAUCCGCCACACUGGGACUGAGACACGGCCCAGACUCCUACGGGAGGCAGCAGUGGGGAAUUUUGGACAAUGGGCGCAAGCCUGAUCCAGCCAUGCCGCGUGCGGGACGAAGGCCUUCGGUUGUAACCGCUUUCAGCCGGAAGAAAUCGCCAAGGCUAAUAUCCUUGGUGGAGUGACGGUACCGGAAGAAGAAGCACCGGCUAACUACGUG
rnacentral:rRNA from 1 species